rnacentral:rRNA from 1 species
UACGGAGGGUGCAAGCGUUAUCCGGAUUUACUGGGUUUAAAGGGUGCGUAGGCGGCGCUGUAAGUCAGGAGUGAAAGUUUGCGGCUCAACCGUAAAAUUGCUUUUGAUACUGCGGUGCUGGAAUUAGGAUGAGGUCAGCGGAAUGUGGCAUGUAGCGGUGAAAUGCAUAGAUAUGCCAUAGAACACCAAUUGCGAAGGCAGCUGGCUAGACCUGGAUUGACGCUGAGGCACGAAAGCGUGGGGAGCGAACAGG